rnacentral:rRNA from 1 species
CCUACGGGAGGCAGCAGUGGGGAAUAUUGGGCAAUGGGCGCAAGCCUGACCCAGCAACGCCGCGUGAAGGAAGAAGGCCUUCGGGUUGUUAACUUCUUUUAUCAGGGACGAAGCAAGUGACGGUACCUGAUGAAUAAGCCUCGGCUAACUACGUGCCAGCAGCCGCGGUAAUACGUAGGUGGCAAGCGUUAUCCGGAUUUACUGGGUGUAAAGGGUGUGGAGGCGGGAAAGCAAGUCCAAUGUGAAAACCAUGGGCUGCAACUGUGGACUGCAUUUGAAACUGUUUGUCUUGAGUACUGGAGAGGCAGACGGAAUGCCUAGUGUAGCGGGGAAAUGCGGAGAGAUUAGGAGGAACACCAGUGGCGAAGGCGGUCUGCUGGACAGCAACUGACGCUGAGGCGCGAAAGCGUGGGGAGCAAACAGGAUUAGAUACCCCAGUAGUC